UUGUCUCUUCACAAACAUUACAAGUUUUUAGCAGAGUAUCAAAAAAGGAACAACUAUUGAUACUGUGCGAAACCUUGAACUGCUUGUGGAAGUAACA
rnacentral:miRNA from 1 species